UUGAGUUUGUUGAAGCUGGAACAAUGUUGGACCAAGAUGAUGGCCUGGAAUAUCAAUUGCCUAAACACCAUCGCUGUGCCUGCCACCUCCUGAAUCUGGGGUCUACAGUUGAUGUCUUGGAAGCCAAUUUCAAUUCAGCUUACAAACAUCUGUCCCGCUCAGCAUUUGCAAAGUGUUUAAGUCUGUGGCAUAAAAGUGCAAGAUCCACCACAGCUGCUGAGAUAAUCAAAGAAAACUGCAAACUUCAGCUGUUGAGGCCAAAUGACACUAGGUGGAAUUCCCUUUUUCUAGCUGUGGAGAGGAUUGUGAGAAUUGUGAGGGAACAAGGAGAAAGAGCCAUUACAGCUGUCUGCAGUGCAUUAAAAAUUCCCAUAUUCACUUCUGCUGAGCUUGCAUUUCUGGAAGAAUAUGCAAAGACAAUGAGCCCAUUUGCAAAAGCACUCAGUGUUCUUCAGGGAGAGACCAAUGUGCAAAUGGGGUGGUUGGUACCUACAGUAACACCUCUAAAUACAAAGCUUCAGCACAUUCGCAUUUCCUCCAGGUUCUGUGCGCCUUUGGUUGAUGCUCUUCUAGCAGGAAUCGAAAAACGUUUUGGACAGAUGCUUGUUGAUCCAGAGCUAAUCACUGCUGCGAUUCUACUCCCCAAAUUUACGACGUGCUGGACAAGCGAUGAAUGUGUCCUGAAACUUGGUCUUGACUAUAUUAAAAGCCACCUGUAACAACAAAUCCUCAGCUGCCUGCGAGCGAAUGUUCAGUACUGCAGGACUGAUUUUUACACCAAAAAGAGCAUGUAUGGAUUCCAAGAACUUUGAAAAUCAACUGCUUCUCAAGCUAAACAAAGACUUUUGUUAAUAAGGUUAUGGCUUAAUGCCAAGUUUAUAAAACUUGAGGCUAAAAAGAAGGCUCUCAUUGUUUGUUGUGUAUGCCUUGCCUUAAAAUUCCUUGCCCCAGUUUUUGGAGUGGCUAAA